UACGGGGGGGGCAAGCGUUGUUCGGAAUUACUGGGCGUAAAGGGCUCGUAGGCGGCCAACUAAGUCGGACGUGAAAUCCCUCGGCUUAACCGGGGAACUGCUUCCGAUACUGGAUGGCUUGAGUGUGGGAGAGGGAUGCGGAAUUCCAGGUGUAGCGGUGAAAUGCGUAGAUAUCUGGAGGAACACCGGUGGCGAAGGCGGCAUCCUGGACCGGUAUUGACGCUGAGGAGCGAAAGCUAGGGGAGCAAACGGG
rnacentral:rRNA from 1 species